CUUGCACCUGAUGGCGAGUGGCGAACGGGUGAGUAAUGCAUCGGAACGUGCCCAGUCGUGGGGGAUAACGCAGCGAAAGCCGUGCUAAUACCGCAUACGAUCCACGGAUGAAAGCGGGGAACCUUCGGGCCUCGCGCGAUUGGAGCAGCCGAUGUUAGAUUAGGUAGUUGGUGGGGUAAAGGCUCACCAAGCCGACGAUCUAUAGCUGGUCUGAGAGGACGACCAGCCACACUGGAACUGAGACACGGUCCAGACUCC
rnacentral:rRNA from 1 species